AUGCACGCUGGCGGCGUGCCUCAUACCUGCAAGUCGAGCGAACGGACGAGAAGCUUGCUUCUCUGAUGUUAGCGGCGGACGGGUGAGUAACACGUGGAUAACCUACCUAUAAGACUGGGAUAACUUCGGGAAACCGGAGCUAAUACCGGAUAAUAUUUUGAACCGCAUGGUUCAAAAGUGAAAGACGGUCUUGCUGUCACUUAUAGAUGGAUCCGCGCUGCAUUAGCUAGUUGGUAAGGUAACGGCUUACCAAGGCAACGAUGCAUAGCCGACCUGAGAGGGUGAUCGGCCACACUGGAACUGAGACACGGUCCAGACUCCUACGGGAGGCAGCAGUAGGGAAUCUUCCGCAAUGGGCGAAAGCCUGACGGAGCAACGCCGCGUGAGUGAUGAAGGUCUUCGGAUCGUAAAACUCUGUUAUUAGGGAAGAACAUAUGUGUAAGUAACUGUGCACAUCUUGACGGUACCUAAUCAGAAAGCCACGGCUAACUACGUG
rnacentral:rRNA from 1 species